rnacentral:rRNA from 1 species
ACGAGGUGGUGGCAUGGUUGUCGUCAGCUCGUGCGUGAGAUGUGGGUUAAGUCCCGCAACGAGCGCAACCCUUAUUGCUAGUUACCAUCAUUGAUUGGGGACUCUAGCGAGACUGCCAGCGAUAAGCUGGAGGAAGGUGGGGAUGACGUCAAAUCAUCAUGCCCCUUAUGACCUGGGCUACAAACGUGAUACAAUGGCUGGAACAAAGGGAGGCGAAGGGGUGACCUGGAGCGAAACCCAAAAUACAGUCUCAGUUCGGAUUGAAGUCUGCAACUCGACUUCAUGAAGUCGGAAUCGCUAGUAAUCGCGGAUCAGAACGCCGCGGUGAAUACGUUCUCGGGGUUU